CGGUGACGUCAGAGAAGUCACAGAGCCGCCGCCGCCACUGAGCCCGAGAGUCUGAGGAGGAGGAGGAGGAGGAGGAAGAGGAGAGGGAGCGAGCCGCUGGAUGUGGAGCUCGGACUGAGGAGCUUUUUUCUCUUCUUCCUCAUCGGGACUGGUCGGACUUCUUCUUCUUCUUCUUAUUCCUCUUCUUCUUCUUCUUCAUCAUCUUCUUCCCUCAGAAAGAUGCAGCACCACUGAACACCCAUCAGCCUUUAGAUGUGUGAGGCUCCACAAAGAAACCUGAACAUCAAGAGUCCACAGUAACAAACUCCAAAAGAAUCCAUUUUAGACAAACUGUGGGCGGAGGAGGUUGGGUUUGAAUGUCAAGUAUCAUGUGUCGAGGCGAACGCUUCUCGUGGAGCUUGCAGACCCCAUCAUCUCUGCUCGCUGCAGUCCUCAGUGAACCAGCAUCUGGCCCACAGCUGAAAACUAUUAGGAUCUGCUGGAACUUCCUCCUCUCUAUUCCUCCCCAGUCGGAAG